AGUAUAGCUCAGUCUGGUAGAGCGCUACGUUCGGGACGUAGAGGUCGUAGGUUCGAAUCCUGUUACU
rnacentral:tRNA from 1 species